UUCCCCCCACUUGCCCUUUGGAGCCUAAGGGCAAGGCUUCUAAACCAGCCAUAACUGAAGCCUCUAUUGGACUAUACUCAUCCUUAGCUGAUUUUCUUCAAGCUUGUCAAGGACAGUAUCAGUUACACGAGGUAAAUGAGCUGGGGCCAUCUCCAAAGAAGAGGAGAAAGAAGAGCACCAACUAGGAACUGAGAAGCAGAAAACCUACAUUAUAAAGUGCUUUCUAAGCAUCUUUAUAGCUUGGGAACCUCUGCCAGCAAGUUACAAAAUACAGCAGCUGGAAUGGUCAUAGGCAGUCAAGAUUUCAGGAGGAUGUGAAGAUGAAGCAGUAAUGGUUCCCUCUACCAAAGAAAAACUGUUUAGCUAAGUAACAAGGAUAAAGUGCCUGCCGUUCCAGUCCGGGGCCCAAGUUUCUGCAAAUAAAGUUUUAUUGGAACAGACCUACACUCAUUCACUUACGUAUUAUGUGUGGCUGCUCCUGUGACACAAUGACCCAAGCUAGCUGAUUAUUUGCAAGAAAACCAUACAGUUCACAAGCCUAAAAUAUUUACCUAUCUUGCCUUUAAGA